rnacentral:rRNA from 1 species
CUACGGGGUGCUCCAGUGAGGAAUAUUGCACAAUGGGGGGAACCCUGAUGCAGCAACGCCGCGUGGAGGAUGACGCAUUUCGGUGUGUAAACUCCUUUUAUAUGUCAAGAAAAUGACGGUAGCAUAUGAAUAAGCACCGGCUAACUCCGUGCCAGCAGCCGCGGUAAUACGGAGGGUGCAAGCGUUACUCGGAAUCACUGGGCGUAAAGCACGCGUAGGCGGGUUGGAAAGUCAGGUGUGAAAUCCUACAGCUUAACUGUAGAACUGCACUUGAAACUUCUAAUCUAGAGUAUGGGAGGGGGAGAUGAAAUUAGUGGUGUAGGGGUAAAAUCCGUAGAUAUCACUAGGAAUACCUAAAGCGAAGGCGAUCUCCUGGAACAUUACUGACGCUAAGGCGUGAAAGCGUGGGGAGCAAACAGGAUUAGAUACCCUUGUAGUC